rnacentral:rRNA from 1 species
UUGAAAAGUUAGCGGAUGACCUGUGGAUCGGAGUGAAAGGCUAAUCAAGCUCGGAGAUAGCUGGUUCUCCUCGAAAGCUAUUUAGGUAGCGCCUCGUGUAUCACUGCUGGGGGUAGAGCACUGUUUCGGCUAGGGGGUCAUCCCGACUUACCAAACCGAUGCAAACUCCGAAUACCAGCAAGUGUCAGCACGGGAGACACACGGCGGGUGCUAACGUCCGUCGUGAAAAGGGAAACAACCCAGACCGUCAGCUAAGGUCCCAAAGUUAUGGUUAAGUGGGAAACGAUGUGGGAAGGCUUAGACAGCUAGGAGGUUGGCUUAGAAGCAGCCAUCCUUUAAAGAAAGCGUAAUAGCUCACUAGUCGAGUCGGCCUGCGCGGAAGAUGUAACGGGGCUCAAACCAUACACCGAAGCUACGGGUUCAUCCUUUGGAUGAGCGGUAGAGGAGCGUUCUGUAAGCCUGUGAAGGUGAGUUGAGAAGCUUGCUGGAGGUAUCAGAAGUGCGAAUGCUGACAUGAGUAACGACAAUGCGAGUGAAAAACUCGCACGCCGAAAGACCAAGGUUUCCUGCGCAACGUUAAUCGACGCAGGGUUAGUCGGCCCCUAAGGCGAGGCAGAAAUGCGUAGUCGAUGGGAAACGGGUUAAUAUUCCCGUACUUCUAGUUACUGCGAUGGAGGGACGGAGAAGGCUAGGCCAGCACGGCGUUGGUUGUCCGUGUUUAAGGUGGUAGGCUGAGAUCUUAGGUAAAUCCGGGAUCUUAAGGCCGAGAGCUGAUGACGAGCGUUCUUUUAGAAUGCGAAGUGGUUGAUGCCAUGCUUCCAGGAAAAGCUUCUAAGCUUCAGGUAACUAGGAACCGUACCCCAAACCGACACAGGUGGUUAGGUAGAGAAUACCAAGGCGCUUGAGAGAACUCGGGUGAAGGAACUAGGCAAAAUGGCACCGUAACUUCGGGAGAAGGUGCGCCGGUGAGGGUGAAGUAUUUACUGCGUAAGCCCAUGCCGGUCGAAGAUACCAGGCCGCUGCGACUGUUUAUUAAAAACACAGCACUCUGCAAACACGAAAGUGGACGUAUAGGGUGUGACGCCUGCCCGGUGCCGGAAGGUUAAUUGAUGGGGUUAGCGCAAGCGAAGCUCUUGAUCGAAGCCCCGGUAAACGGCGGCCGUAACAAUAACGGUCCUAAGGUAGCGAAAUUCCUUGUCGGGUAAGUUCCGACCUGCACGAAUGGCGUAACGAUGGCGGCGCUGUCUCCACCCGAGACUCAGUGAAAUUGAAAUCGCUGUGAAGAUGCAGUGUAUCCGCGGCUAGACGGAAAGACCCCGUGAACCUUUACUAUAGCUUUGCACUGGACUUUGAGCUUGCUUGUGUAGGAUAGGUGGGAGGCUUUGAAGUGGGGACGCCAGUUCUCAUGGAGCCAUCCUUGAAAUACCACCCUGGCAACCUUGAGGUUCUAACUCUGGUCCGUUAUCCGGAUCGAGGACAGUGUAUGGUGGGUAGUUUGACUGGGGCGGUCUCCUCCCAAAGAGUAACGGAGGAGUACGAAGGUGCGCUCAGACCGGUCGGAAAUCGGUCGUAGAGUAUAAAGGCAAAAGCGCGCUUGACUGCGAGACAGACACGUCGAGCAGGUACGAAAGUAGGUCUUAGUGAUCCGGUGGUUCUGUAUGGAAGGGCCAUCGCUCAACGGAUAAAAGGUACUCCGGGGAUAACAGGCUGAUACCGCCCAAGAGUUCAUAUCGACGGCGGUGUUUGGCACCUCGAUGUCGGCUCAUCACAUCCUGGGGCUGAAGCCGGUCCCAAGGGUAUGGCUGUUCGCCAUUUAAAGUGGUACGCGAGCUGGGUUUAGAACGUCGUGAGACAGUUCGGUCCCUAUCUGCCGUGGACGUUUGAGAUUUGAGAGGGGCUGACCUUAGUACGAGAGGACCGGGUUGGACGAACCUCUGGUGUUCCGGUUGUCACGCCAGUGGCAUUGCCGGGUAGCUAUGUUCGGAAAAGAUAACCGCUGAAAGCAUCUAAGCGGGAAACUUGCCUCAAGAUGAGAUCUCACUGGAGCCUUGAGCUCCCUAAAGGGCCGUCGAAGACUACGACGUUGAUAGGUGGGGUGUGUAAGCGCUGUGAGGCGUUGAGCUAACCCAUACUAAUUGCCCGUGAGGCUUGACC